ensembl:lncRNA
UUUUUUUAAUCAUCAUCUUGGUAUUUUGCAGAUUUUUUGUCACUACUGUAUGACACUGUAAUAAUUUUGGGAGUUUUCUGGAACUUGACUUUCUUAUUCUUGAUAAUAGUAAAACUUUAACAUACCCGUGAAUGAUGGGCAACCCAUCAGAACAGCCUGAGUAAUAGUCAGUAUCUACUGUAGCUUGCUAUGUGCCUUAAAGCUUCAUUCAAGGAAACUGUUUGAAUGUUAGAAAACUAUAUUGGGAUGAUUUCCUUUUACAUUUAGUGUUAUGUAUGUUCUACAUUUUUGUUCUAGCCUCUUUAAAUUGUCAACCAGUUACAUGCUUUCAGGUUGUAUUAAUUUUGACAUUUUUUAUUUGUGUGUUUAUGUUACUGACAUCUGGCUAAACCGAGCAAUGUUAUGCAUAACCUCUGAUGAUCUCUGACCAAAAAUGUUAUGUUGUGUUAUUGCCUCAGAUACAGGAUUUGGUUCAGGGCUGAUUCAUAUAGGCUUGAAAUGAGUUGAAAUCCCAGUCCCUAUAUUUAGCUCUAACUUCACAUAACCCUGAUGUAUUCAAAUAACCAGUGGCCGAAGACCAAAGCUUUAGAAUGACUGUUGCUCAAUAGUCACAUCACAUCCCAGAGUAUUUUGACAAAUGAUUAAUGUAGGCUGUCAGAGAGAUUUACCUUUGGCGGAUACCACCAGAAAUCUACUUUUAUUGAUAACUGUGGGAAAAUAACUGAUUGGUGACUGAAGGGUUAAGAUGUAGUUAAAGGACAUCAGAGAUGUCAAGAUUUUGCUAUGCUGCCAUUGCUGAUAUCAAAUCAGCAUUUGGAUUUAUGACUACCAUCAGCAGUUCACUCCAGAUAUAAAUCAUUUUAUCAGAUUGCUUUUGUUUCCCAGAAAAUUAGUAGUGAACCUUUUGAUUUACCUAUAUUGUCAUGUACCCAUAUUCUUUGUAAAGCCAUAUUGGCUGAAAUGUAUAUAUUUUUUGUUCAUCCUAUUUACUAUCCUAUAUACCAGCCCAUCAUCUGUCAGUAUUUUAAGUCAUGAAUUUAUUAAGUUGACCUUGGAUAUACUGGCUUCCUGGAAUAUACUGUACGUGACUUAUAUUUUUUAGACGGGUGAAAUGCACAACAUUUUUGAUGUGGAAAAGGAAAUUAAUUGUUGGUAUAUUGUUGGUAAUCAAUAAUUUCCUUCUCACUUCCUUUCACUUUAAUUACGGUACAACUAUUGUUUUUGUGAUGUUGUUUUUUGGGGUGUUGCCUCAGUGUUGCUCAAAUGUUUUUUUACGAACAAAAAGUGAUAAGGAAUUAUAACGUGGGUGACCCUGGUUUCUUUAAGCAGCUUUUGGAUUACUAGUGAGUGAUUUGCAACACAAUAAGGAAAUAUUCUGGACUGUCAAAUGCAGAAGAGAACGGAAUCCUACAGUAAUACAGGGCAUAACCAUAGAUAAUUUCCCCCCUUCUCUGUAUAUCUCAAGUUUGUGGUGAAUCACUUGGCCGGGUGUUAGUCAUUUUCUCAGUUUCGAAUAAGUGAUUUGCUUUGAUGCUGUUUUAGUGAUACUUAACACUGAGACUCAUUAGUGGGUUGCUUUGUUAAAGGGUAUAAAGUCCCGUCCUCACGUCACGUCAUCAAAGAUAAUGUGCCGUCAAGUCUUUGGCCUUCUCAUCUCGUGGAGCUUUGUUUUUGAUUGUGUUUGAAAGGAGUUGGAUAGAGACUUUUGCUGCACAUAGUGUUUAGUCAAGUUUUAUAUGAAACUAAGCCAUAGAGGUCUUUACAUUUAGCCAACGGUUAAUUUUCUCACUAUGUUCCGGGUGGAUAUGAACACAACCCAUAAGAGAAACGGCACUAUUAAUAAUGUGAAGACUUCUUCAAACAUAGUGUGCAAAUUUUUAUGUUUAAAAAAAUAUAUAUCUGUCCAACUGUAGUAUUGUUUUUAUAUUCUGUCCAUUACUUGACCUUUUAAGCUAUAUAGGCUGCUGUGUUCUCAUCCCAUUUUACGUCUCCCAUGCCUUUCACUACAUUCAGCAUACUACGAACUUUGUACGCUGUUAUGCUUUAAUUGAGUCAUGUCUGAAAUGAAUAAAAUAUUACGGAGUCUGUCGUCCUAUGGUGUGCC